rnacentral:rRNA from 1 species
GACGAACGCUGGCGGCGGGCUUAACACAUGCAAGUCGAACGGAAAGGCCCUGCUUUUGUGGGGUGCUCGAGGGGCGAACGGGUGAGUAACACGUGAGUAACCUGCCCUUGACUUUGGGAUAACUUCAGGAAACUGGGGCUAAUACCGGAGAGGAGCGCCUGCUGCAUGGGGGGGGUUGGAAAGUUUCGGCGGUUGGGGAUGGACUCGCGGCUUAUCAGCUUGUGGGUGGGGGAGUGGCUUACCAAGGCUUUGACGGGUAGCCGGCCUGAGAGGGUGAACGGCCACCUUGGGACUGAGAUACGGCCCAGACUCCUACGGGAGGCAGCAGUGGGGAAUAUUGCACAAUGGGCGGAAGCCUGAUGCAGCAACGCCGCGUGCGGGAUGACGGCCUUCGGGUUGUAAACCGCUUUCGCCUGUGACGAAGCGUGAGUGACGGUAAUGGGUAAAGAAGCACCGGCUAACUACGUG